UUAGCUCAUAUUUGUAUGAAAUGGGAUCGUUUGCCUACGUUUGCCGUUAGGGGCGCUGUUCCAACUGCAUACAAAAUUGGGUUA
rnacentral:pre_miRNA from 1 species